AAUAAACGCUGGCGGCGUGCUUAACACAUGCAAGUCGAGCGAGAAAGCUCCUUCGGGAGUGAGUACAGCGGCGGACGGGUGAGUAAUACACAAGAAUCUACCCUUCAGUGAAGAAUACCCUCAAGAAAUUGAGGUUAAUGCUGCAUACGUCCCUUCGGGGAGAAAGACGGCCUCUUUGCUGUCGCUGAUGGAUGAGCUUGUGCGCUAUUAGCUUGUUGGUGAGGUAAAGGCUCACCAAGGCGAUGAUGGCUAGCCGGCCUGAGAGGGUGUACGGCCACACUGGAACUUAGACACGGUCCAGACUCCUACGGGAGGCAGCAGUGAGGAAUAUUGCGCAAUGGGCGAAAGCCUGACGCAGCGACGCCGCGUGAAGGAUGAAGGCCUUAGGGUCGUAAACUUCUGUUAAGUGGGAAGAAAAGCCAAGCUCUAAUACAGCUUGGUAAUGACGGUACCACUAGAGAAAGCACCGGCUAACUUCGUG
rnacentral:rRNA from 1 species